GGGUAUAUAUGAAUGGCUAACAUGUCCAGUGUUCUAGCGUUUCAGCACCCGUUGUGAGCAGAGUAAAGGCGUCCACCUAAAGCUUUCUGCCGAUCGCAAAGCCGCUGCCUGCGAAGCUACUUAUCGAAACUGGUGUUAUAUGGGUUCUAACGCAGCCUAGACCUUCGCCUCUGUUCACAUGGAUAACCCAAACGACGAGAACGACUCCAGCAGCAGUGGCUCUGACGAGGGGACGCCGGCAUGCAGCGGCGAACCCGGUAGCCCUUCAGCGCUCUACAACGCCAACUCGGGAUCCACCCACGCCGGAAGAGGACGAACGCGAGUCGACCUCGGAUUCUGCGCUGUCUGAACAAUCGUUGCCGCAGGCCGGAUGUUCUCAAGCAAUGAGCCAAAGAUCACGUCGCAAUUCCGCUGAUGACCAGUCGGAGGUUGCCGGAGACAGCCGUGACGGCAUCCUUGCGGGCCGCCCAGCGACCGCGCCGCCCAUGCCCAAGGACCUCAUGAGCGAGCCGUUUUUGCAGACCUAUUCAGACAGCCAGAUCGAUUUAGCCGCCCGACGCCUGAGGGUAAUCAAGGUCACCUGCAAACGUGCUGAGGCGGAGGGCCUGCCCUUGGAUCCGGCCGUUGCGGCACGAACGGCGGCAGCCGUACGAAAGGAAGAUCUGGAGAAAGCUGACACGGCGAGCGCGGCGCCGUCCACGUGCAACCCACGCGGGCACCCCAGGGGGCUUAGCGCAGCAAGAGAGUCGACAGUAACUGGCAGUGAACGCAGCUCUUGGAUCAUUGCAGAAAACAUGGACGUAGCUAGUACUCAGUCGUACUACCCAGAGGACGACCAUAUACCAAUGGGUUGGUUGCCCCGUAGUUACAUGCGCUACUGUCGUGCCCGUAGCAGCGGCUGGUUUCGUAGAUACAGACUUCAGAUAAUCUGGUCUAUCGCUAUCGUCGGAGCCAUGCUUGGUUUUAUUUUACUCGGUUUGCUUAUGCAGCACAUCCGUCGUGGGAAUGAAAGCCUGGGCGCGACUCCCACUGAACCGGAAGCUUGGACAAGUUCACACACUCCGAGUGGUGAUUCCGAUGACGAAAGUCAACCGCGACCGAAGGCUUUCCUUUAAUUCACGAGGGGUGCUCCCAGGAGGCAAGCAACGCCAAGAAUCUUCGCCAAUGAAAUCAUGCUCAUAUUGCUCUGGUGUAUUUCCGUACGUUCAGGGCGCCAUGCUGGCUUUUCGUG